rnacentral:rRNA from 1 species
GCGGCAGGCCUAAUACAUGCAAGACGAACGGUAAGCGAGGUAGCAAUAUUUCGCCUAGAGUGUCGUAAGGGUGCGUAACACGUAUGCAAUCUGCCCCCAACAGGAGGAUAGCUCGGGGAAACCCGAAUUAACCCUUCAUAAUAUCACGUGAGGGCAUCCGAUUGUGAUUAAAACUGAGGUGGUUGGGGAUGAGCAUGCGUCUGAUUAGCUAGUUGGUAGGGUAAUGGCCUACCAAGGCGAUGAUCAGUAGGGGAACUGAGAGGUUGAUCCCCCACACUGGCACUGAGAUACGGGCCAGACUCCUACGGGAGGCAGCAGUAGGGAAUAUUGGACAAUGGGUGCGAGCCUGAUCCAGCCAUGCCGCGUGCAGGAAGACGGC